UACGGGGGGGGCAAGCGUUGUUCGGAAUUACUGGGCGUAAAGCGUGCGCAGGCGGCUUUGCAAGACAGAUGUGAAAUCCCCGGGCUCAACCUGGGAACUGCAUUUGUGACUGCAUGGCUAGAGUACGGUAGAGGGGGAUGGAAUUCCGCGUGUAGCAGUGAAAUGCGUAGAUAUGCGGAGGAACACCGAUGGCGAAGGCAAUCCCCUGGACCUGUACUGACGCUCAUGCACGAAAGCGUGGGGAGCAAACAGG
rnacentral:rRNA from 1 species